rnacentral:snRNA from 1 species
GGACGUGAGGACGAUCUGGCUGCGACAUCCGUCACCCCACGGAUCGCCAGGGCUGAUUCGGCUGAUCUGGCUGGCUGGGCGGGUGUCCCCUCCCUCCCUCCCUGCUCCAUGUGUGUCCCUUUGGUGAAAGAGGAUGGCCUUCCCCGUUAGAGGAGUUCUGGUGUUCAGUCAACAGUAGCCGCACUCCCUGGCUAGAACCUCCAACCAAGUGCUCAAGGAUGGGCCGGCAGAGCCUAAGAAGUGGCACAGCUGUCUCUGUGCCCUUCAGCCUUCCGAGGGUGGCACCAGCA